GUUUCUUGCCUCCAAAAUUUGUAUUAUUCUUCUCCCUCGACGUUCUGCCCUACUUCUGAUAAAUUUUGGCUUUUAUAUCAUGUCCUCACUGAGCUCCGAAAGAGUUUCAAUUAAAAACGGAAGUUCAGAUUUUUUUUUCGAAAUUAAGGCCAUGCGGCCGCAUGGUUCAAUUUUUUUGCUCAAUUAAAACCCUGCUACACCAUGUGCGGCCGCAUGGUAUAGUUACAUGCGGCCGCAAGGUUGUAAAGUUACAACCUUGUCAUUUUGGUCCCUAAACUCCGUUUUCUCUUUUCUUGAUCUCUUUUCUUUCUUUCCUUUGUUCCAUUAUCAAAUAUUGACUCCUAAUUGAUGUUUGGGUNGUUAGACGCAGCAAACGGGAAAGGACAGAAAAAUCUUAUGGUCCUGAUUUUCUGACCUAUAUGCUAAAAAGUGAACCUCAAAGUUAUCAAGAAGUAGUGAAUUCCUCGAAAAGACCUCAAUGGAAAGAAGCCAUUGAAAGUGAAAUAGAUUUCAUACUGCAAAAUCAUACAUGGGAGCUAGUGGAUCUUCCUCCAGGAAACAAACCACUAGGCUACAAAUGGAUUUUUAAAAAGAAAAUGAAAGCAAAUGGAACUGUCGAGAAGUAUAAGGUCAGAUUAGUAAUUAAAGGCUACAAACAAAGGGAAUAUCUUAAUUACUUUGAUACGUAUUCUCCAGUGAUGAGACUAACAUCUAUUAGGAUGAUACUUGCGAUUGCCGCUUUGCGAAAUCUUGAAGUACAUCAAACGGAUGUUAAAACUGCCUUUCUAAAUGGAAAUCUAGAAGAAGAAAUUUACAUGGAACAACCUAAGGGGUUUUCGUCACCAGGAUAGGAAAAGAAAGUCUGUAAACUGGUGAAGUCACUAUAUGGCUUAAAAUAAGCACCAAAACAAUGACAUGAAAAAUUUGACAAUGUCAUGAUUGAGAGUGGAUUUAAAAUCAAUGAAUGUGACAAAUGUGUUUACGUCAAAGAUACUAAAGAUAGAUAUGUCAUCUUAUGUCUUUAUGUUGACGACAUGCUUAUUAUUGAUAGUGACAAUAAGAUGAUUGACUCCACUAAAAAUAUGUUAAACUCGAGAUUUGACAUGAAAGAUAUGGGUUUAGCUGAUGUUAUACUUGGAGUGAAAAUCUCAAGAUCAUCAAAUGGGCUUGUUCUAAAUCGGUCACAUUAUGUGGACAAAAUUUUAGGAAAAUUCCAUAAGGAUGAUACUGGCUUGGUUAGAACACUAAUAGAUACGAGUCAACAUCUGUCUAAAAACAGAAAAGAAAGUAUCUCUCAAGUAGAAUACUUGAGAGUUAUCGGAAGUCUAAUAUACUUAAUGAGUUGCACUAGACUAGACAUAACCUACACAGUCAGUAAACUAAGUAGAUACACGAGUAAUCUAGGAGCUGAUCACUGGAAAGGAAUCGUAAGAGUACUGUUUACGAAAUAAUUCUUUCGAUUUAAAAUUACCGCAAGUGUACGGUUCGUAACAAGUAAUAAAGUGGAUUUUUUAAAAGUCCGAAUAUCGUCCCUCAGAGAUUGAGUAGUUCAAUUCUAUAUAAUCUAGCCUUAACCGAAUCUAAUUGAGUGAGAAUAUAGUCUAAAUGCAAAAAGUCCUAAUUUCAAUUAAAAACCCUAAUUUUAACUAAAAACCCUAAUUUCAAUUGAAAACCCUAAUUUCUCAAUUAGAAACCCUAAUUUCAAAAUUUCUCUAAUUAAACGACUUAAACACUCAAGUAAAUUAAAUUAAGCAAGUUUAAAAGCUAAUUUAUUAAAAUGAAUUAAACUAAAGUCACUAGGAUCACGAAUCCCCAAUUGAAGUUAUAAAAACCCUAAUUUUAUAAAAUUAAUGAUUCGAUGAAAAUUUGCCAAUUCAAUGUUCCUAAUUUUAUCCAAUAUACUCUCUCGAUAUAUAUUAGACCUAUUCUUGCAUACCACCAGCCUAUAUCUCUAUGGAUGAUGCAAACAUACAAGAAUGCAUGUAGUUUUGUGAACAAUUUAAGAAUUGCAUAAAGCAUAGGGGUAUAUCUCUAUCCCCUAUCGGACCCUAUGUUAAUUUACACUUUAUCGAACCUAUUCCACUUCUCUCGAAUGUAAAAAAUAAGUCAUCAUUACUCACACAAUCAUUGGCCACUAAUUGCGGAAGAAAAUUAAUGCAUGUAAAUCAAUUAAAUUAUCCAAACGAGUCUUUAUAUUAAAUUCAUGAAAUAUAGAAUUAAAAUAACAAACAACGGUUCAUCGAUCACCUAGUAAAUAAAAACUUAGCCUAGAAGAUUCAUAAUUACAGAAAAAAAGAAAUUAAUAAAUUGAAAGAAUAACACCCGUAUGGAACUUCUUGAAAUAUGAAAUCUUGAAUAAAACCUUGAAAACCCACUUGAAUCCUUAUGAAAUCGGCUUCAAGUUCAUGUUUCUUGCCUCCAAAAGUUGUAUUCUUCUUCUCCCUAAACGUUCUGCCCUACUUCUGAUGAAUUUUGGGUUUUAUAUCAUGUCCUCACGGAGCCCCGAAAGAGUUUCAAUUAAAAACGGAAGUUCAGAUUUUUUUUCGAAAUUAAGGCCAUGCGGCCGCAUAGUGUUAAACCAUGUGACCGCAUGGUUCAAUUUUUUUGCUCAAUUAAAACCCUGCUACACCAUGUGCGGCCGCAUGGUAUAGUUACAUGCGGCCGCAAGGUUGUAAAGUUACAACCUUGUCAUUUUGGUCCCUAAACUCCGUUUUCUCUUUUCUUGAUCUCUUUUCUUUCUUUCCUUUGUUCCAUUAUCAAAUAUUGACUCCUAAUUGAUGUUUGGGUCAAUCAAUUCCUUGAUCAUUUGCUCGGCUCAUCUUUUGAUUAAUUGUAAUUUAGUCCUUCAUCUUUCACUUUUCUUUAAUUCAGUCCAAUGUUACUUCUUUCUUCCUCCAAUCAUUUUGUAUCGUCCUCAAUCUCAUAUUUGGUAUAUUUUCAUUCUAAUUCUACGCUUUAGCUCAACUUUCCAAUAUUUGCACCUUUGGUCCCCGAACUAUCGCUUUGUUCCGUUUUGGUCAUUUUUCGGCUCUUUUCUUCUGAAUUCCAUCUUUUCCAUAGAAACACUUACAUUGCAUGAAUUUAACAAGAUUAAGUCACAAUUCAACUACUUUGUCCAUAUUUAAGUCCUGUUUGUGAGCUAAAUAAGUGUGUAAAAACACACUUAUCAAGUACUAAGGUAUUUAAGAUAUACUCGUGACUAUGGACUACAUUAUACUAGAUAUCCAGCAGUCAUUGAAGGAUACAAUGAUGCUAAUUGGAUAUCUAAUAUAAAAGGCUCAAAAUCCACCAGUGGAUAUGUGUUCACAUUGGGUGGUGGUCAUAUAGUGGAAAUCCUCUAAGCAAACGAUUAUAGCCAAAUCUACGAUGGAAUCUGAGUUUAUAGCUCUAGAUAAAUGUGGUGGAGAGGCUGAAUAGUUGCGCAACUUCUUAGACGAUAUUCCAACAUGGUCAAAACCUGUGCCAGCAAUUUGCAUAUAUUGUAAUAGUCAAUUGGCAAUAGGAAGGGCACAGAGUAACAUAUAUAAUGGUAAGUCUAGACAUAUACAUCGUAGACACAAUACCAUAAGACAACUACUCUCAACUGGAGUUAUUACUAUUGACUAUAUAAGGUCAAAAGAUAACAUUGCGGAUCCGCUAACCAAAGGGUUAAAUAGAGAG
rnacentral:lncRNA from 1 species